GGGCGGCUAGCUCAGCGGGAGAGCGCUUGCUUCACACGCAAGAGGUCGCUGGUUCGAAACCAGCGCCGCCCACCA
rnacentral:tRNA from 2 species